rnacentral:tRNA from 1 species
GCGGGUUUAGCUCAGUUGGGAGAGCGUCAGACUGAAGUAGCACUUCAUUCUCAUUAUCUGAAGGUCAUGUGUUCGAUCCACAUAAACCGCA